AGACCAACACAUGUCCAUCGAUUUGUAAUUGAACACACCGUGGAGUCUCGCAUGUAUUCUCUUCUACACGGAAAGUCUUCUGGCGUUGCAAGGACUGGGUACAAAGACACAGAAAACCCAUCGUUAACCAUUGCAGAUUUGGCUACGUUAUUCAAUUAUGACGAGGAUCAAAUAUGCACUUUAGAUCUUGUCUAGCAAGACAUUGUUAGUGCGCAGAACUGGCUACAAAAACACAGGAAACCCAUCGCGAAUCAUUCGCGACGAGGACCAAACAGGCACUUUCAAUCUACUCUAGUAAUAUUCAACAAUAAGACAAUGAGUCCGGUCUUAAUUUUAUACAAUGACUAAGACGGGAUCAAAUCAGCAAUAAUAAUGAUUGAAUGUACAAAGAAAACUUUAGAAAUUCAUACUUCCAUCGAUAUAAGACACACAUUCUUGAAUAUAGAUUUUCGACAUAUGUCCAGUAUGAGCGUGAUGUUAGUUUAUCAACUCGUAGUCCACUCGUGGUCUUAACUUAUUGUUAACUAUUUCAUUGAUCCGAAGUCACGUGGUUUCAGCUCCAUAUUAUCGUCCCAAUCCCCCAAAACCGAAACUAGAACAAUGGCAAAAUACGUCUGGAGUCGAUUGAGUCGAUCAUACGGAGACCUAUUGACACUAGGCCUUCUAUCUAACUGUCAGCGUGCACUACUCCAAGUCUUCAAAUUGCUGCCAUGAAAAGCAUUCAAAAUAAGGUUUAAAACGGAUUAAUUUUACUUGUACAGUUAACUCAAUUUGAACGACCAUCUCUCGUAAGCGACCACUUUUUCCUGAUCCCGAGGUGGUCGCUUACCAGAGAAUUGAUUGUAGUCUCUAGCUUUCUCAUGCAGUUAGUAUAACAACCCUAUUGCAGUGAUAAUAGUAAGGCAAGUGCUUAGGAUGUAGUAUGCAGGUUUUUUUUAUAAAUAGUGUCACGUAACAAAAUGGGCAAUAGGCGAUGUGCAGCGAAGCCAUUUUGUGCAGCAAAGUGUGUUAAGAGUUGUAGUCCUCGUACAUGCCCCCUAUAACAGUCCUUCAAAGCCAUUUUUGCUUUUUCGCGGCAGAAAUCGAAGAAGAAUUAGCUGUGCCGUUCUGACCAAAGAAAAUAUGAAAACAGAUUUUAGGGAGGUCGUUAUUGUGAUGACUACAACUCUCACCAUGCUUUAUUGUAUAACAUGGUUUUCUGGUUGAAUUAACAUCCUUAUAAUGUAAAGCAAUAAAAAUGUGCAAAACC